rnacentral:rRNA from 1 species
CCCUUAGAUGUUCUGGGCCGCACGCGCGCUACACUGAUGCAUUCAACGAGUUUCUUCCUGGUCCGAGAGGAAUGGGUAACCUUUUGAAAGUGCAUCGUGAUAGGGAUAGACUAUUGCAAUUAUUGGUCUCCAACGAGGAAUUCCUAGUAAACGCAAGUCAUCAGCUUGCAUUGAUUACGUCCCUGCCCUUUGUACACACCGCCCGUCGCACCUACCGAUUGAAUGGUCCGGUGAAAUCUUCGGAUUGAGACUUUGAUUUCUUCACGGAAAACGCUGUUUUAAAAAGUUGAUUAAACCUUACCAUUUAGAGGAAGGUGAAGUCGUAACA